CCCUUAGAUGUUCUGGGCCGCACGCGCGCUACACUGACGAAUGCAACGAGCUUAUAACCUUGGCCGAAAGGUCUGGGUAAUCUCCAAAUUUCGUCGUGAUGGGGGUAGAUUAUUGCAAUUAUUAAUCUUCAACGAGGAAUGCCUAGUAAGCGCAAGUCAUCAGCUUGCGUUGAUUACGUCCCUGCCCUUUGUACACACCGCCCGUCGCUCCUACCGAUUGAAUGGUCCGGUGAAGCGCUCGGACCGCGGCCUCUUGACGGUUUUCCGUCGAUUGGCUGUGGGAAGUUCGUUAAACCUUAUCAUUUAGAGGAAGGAGAAGUCGUAACA
rnacentral:rRNA from 1 species